UGGGGGAUAUUGCACAAUGGGCGAAAGCCUGAUGCAGCAACGCCGCGUGAGGGAAGACGGUCUUCGGAUUGUAAACCUUUAGCUUUGGGGAAGAAACAAAUGACGGUACCCAAAGGGGCAGCCACGGCUAACUACGUGCCAGCAGCCGCGGUAAUACGUAGGUGGCAAGCGUUGUCCGGAAUUACUGGGUGUAAAGGGAGCGCAGGCGGGGAGACAAGUCAGCUGUGAAAUACAUGGGCUUAACCCAUGAAUUGCAGUUGAAACUGUUUUUCUUGAGUGGAGUAGAGGUAGGCGGAAUUCCGAGUGUAGCGGUGAAAUGCGUAGAUAUUCGGAGGAACACCAGUGGCGAAGGCGGCCUACUGGGCUCUAACUGACGCUGAGGCUCGAAAGUGUGGGGAGCAAACAGG
rnacentral:rRNA from 1 species